rnacentral:rRNA from 1 species
AAUGGCUGGCGAUAGAUCAUUCAAGUUUCUGACCUAUCAGCUUUCGACGGUAGUGUAUUGGACUACCGUGGCAGUGACGGGUAACGGGGAAUUAGGGUUCGAUUCCGGAGAGGGAGCCUGAGAAACGGCUACCACAUCUAAGGAAGGCAGCAGGCGCGCAAAUUACCCAAUCCUGACUCAGGGAGGUAGUGACAAGAAAUAACAACACUGGAAAUUUUAUUUCUAGUGAUUGGAAUGAUGGGAAUUUAAACCCCUUUCAGAGUAACAAUUGGAGGGCAAGUCUGGUGCCAGCAGCCGCGGUAAUUCCAGCUCCAAUAGCGUAUAUUAAAGUUGUUGCAGUUAAAAAGCUCGUAGUUGGAUGUCUGCUGGAAGCAAUCAGUCCGCCCUAUUUGUAGGGUGUGCACUUGAUGAAUUCUGGCAUUUUUGUCCCAAUGAUGUAACGGNGCGGUGGUAUUCGGUGAAAGCCGAGUAUCCUGUUUUCCGAUUAUUGGGAUACUGUUACUUUGAGAAAAUUAGAGUGUUUGAAGCAGGCUAAUUGCCUUGAAUACUGCAGCAUGGAAUAACAAUAUAGGAUUUCGGUUCUAUUUUGUUGGUUUCUAGGACUGAAAUAAUGAUUAAUAGGGACAGUUGGGGGCAUUCGUAUUUAACUGUCAGAGGUGAAAUUCUUAGAUUUGUUAAAGACGAACUACUGCGAAAGCAUUUGCCAAAGAUGUUUUCAUUAAUCAAGAACGAAAGUUAGGGGCUCGAAGACGAUCAGAUACCGUCGUAGUCUUAACCAUAAACUAUGCCGACUAGAG